GAAAGUCUGACGGAGCAACGCCGCGUGAGUGAUGACGGCCUUCGGGUUGUAAAGCUCUGUUAAUCGGGACGAAAGGCCUUCUUGCGAAUAGUUAGAAGGAUUGACGGUACCGGAAUAGAAAGCCACGGCUAACUACGUGCCAGCAGCCGCGGUAAUACGUAGGUGGCAAGCGUUGUCCGGAAUUAUUGGGCGUAAAGCGCGCGCAGGCGGAUAGGUCAGUCUGUCUUAAAAGUUCGGGGCUUAACCCCGUGAUGGGAUGGAAACUGCCAAUCUAGAGUAUCGGAGAGGAAAGUGGAAUUCCUAGUGUAGCGGUGAAAUGCGUAGAUAUUAGGAAGAACACCAGUGGCGAAGGCGACUUUCUGGACGAAAACUGACGCUGAGGCGCGAAAGCCAGGGGAGCGAACGGGAUUAGAUACCCCGGUAGUCCUGGCCGUAAACGAUGGGUACUAGGUGUAGGAGGUAUCGACCCCUUCUGUGCCGGAGUUAACGCAAUAAGUACCCCGCCUGGGGAGUACGACCGCAAGGUUGAAACUCAAAGGAAUUGACGGGGGCCCGCACAAGCGGUGGAGUAUGUGGUUUAAUUCGACGCACGCGAAGAACCU
rnacentral:rRNA from 1 species